GCGGCGCAAGGGAGAGUAACGCGUGGAUAUCUGCCCUCGGCUCCAGAAUAGCUACGGGAAACUGUAGGUAAUGCUGGAUAAUAUCUCCGGAUUAAAGGUGUGAUUCCGGCCGAGGAUGAGUCCGCGUCCUAUUAGAUUGUUGGUGGGGUAAUGGCCUACCAAGUCGAAGAUGGGUACCGGGUGUGAGAGCAUGGCCCGGCUCACCGGGACUGAGACACUGCCCAGACGUCUACGGACGGCUGCAGUCGAGAAUCUUCCGCAAUGGGCGCAAGCCUGACGGAGCGACGCCGCGUGCGGGAUGAAGGCCUUCGGGUUGUAAACCGCUGUCAGUUGGGAGGAAAUGCUAUGGGGUUCUCUCCAUAGUUUGACCGAUCUUCAGAGGAAGUACGGGCUAAGUACGUGCCAGCAGCCGCGGUAACACGUACCGUACGAACGUUAUUCGGAAUCACUGGGCUUAAGGAGUCCGUAGGCGGCUAUGUAGGUCAGGUGUGAAACCCCACGGCUCAACCGUGGAACUGCGCUUGAAACCAUAUGGCUAGAGGGAGAUAGAGGAAAGCGGAACUGAUGGUGGAGCGGUGAAAUGCGUUGAUAUCAUCAGGAACACCGGUGGCGAAAGCGGCUUUCUGGGUCUCUUCUGACGCUGAGGGACGAAAGCUAGGGGAGCGAACGGGAUUAGAUACCCCGGUAGUCCUAGCUGUAAACGAUGAGCACUAGU
rnacentral:rRNA from 1 species